GACUGUUGUCCAAUUUGGUAUUGGUAAGCGUUUCUAUAUUGCAGCAGGAAGAGCGCUUCGAAAUGGUUCCACAAACAUGGAUGUUUUGGUUGCAUUGGGAACUACAGCUUCCUAUGUUUAUUCUGUAUGUGCAUUACUUUAUGGUGCAGUUUCUGGGUUCUGGUCUCCAACUUAUUUUGAAACAAGUGCCAUGUUAAUCACAUUUGUACUUCUGGGGAAGUACUUGGA
rnacentral:misc_RNA from 1 species